CCUUAUUUGAUUUUCUUCGGAACUGAAGAUUUGGUGAUUGAGUGGCGGACGGGUGAGUAACGCGUGGGUAACCUGCCCUGUACAGGGGGAUAACAGUCAGAAAUGACUGCUAAUACCGCAUAAGACCACAGCACCGCAUGGUGCAGGGGUAAAAACUCCGGUGGUACAGGAUGGACCCGCGUCUGAUUAGCUGGUUGGUGAGGUAACGGCUCACCAAGGCGACGAUCAGUAGCCGGCUUGAGAGAGUGAACGGCCACAUUGGGACUGAGACACGGCCCAAACUCCUACGGGAGGCAGCAGUGGGGAAUAUUGCACAAUGGGGGAAACCCUGAUGCAGCGACGCCGCGUGAGUGAAGAAGUAUCUCGGUAUGUAAAGCUCUAUCAGCAGGGAAGAAAAUGACGGUACCUGACUAAGAAGCCCCGGCUAACUACGUGCCAGCAGCCGCGGUAAUACGUAGGGGGCAAGCGUUAUCCGGAAUUACUGGGUGUAAAGGGUGCGUAGGUGGUAUGGCAAGUCAGAAGUGAAAACCCAGGGCUUAACUCUGGGACUGCUUUUGAAACUGUCAGACUGGAGUGCAGGAGAGGUAAGCGGAAUUCCUAGUGUAGCGGUGAAAUGCGUAGAUAUUAGGAGGAACAUCAGUGGCGAAGGCGGCUUACUGGAC
rnacentral:rRNA from 1 species